UUGUGGGUAGCGUGCUACUUAAGAUAUAGUCGGGCCCUGACCGAAAGGACAGGGAAAAACGUCCGUAGGUGAACCUGCGGAAGGAUCAUUAA
rnacentral:rRNA from 1 species